rnacentral:rRNA from 1 species
CAAAGGUGAGCCAGUACAGGAUGGACCCGCGUCUGAUUAGCUAGUUGGUAAGGUAACGGCUUACCAAGGCGACGAUCAGUAGCCGACCUGAGAGGGUGAUCGGCCACAUUGGAACUGAGACACGGUCCAAACUCCUACGGGAGGCAGCAGUGGGGAAUAUUGCACAAUGGGCGAAAGCCUGAUGCAGCAACGCCGCGUGAGUGAUGAAGGCCUUCGGGUCGUAAAACUCUGUCCUCAAGGAAGAUAAUGACGGUACUUGAGGAGGAAGCCCCGGCUAACUACGUGCCAGCAGCCGCGGUAAUACGUAGGGGGCUAGCGUUAUCCGGAUUUACUGGGCGUAAAGGGUGCGUAGGCGGUCUUUCAAGUCAGGAGUGAAAGGCUACGGCUCAACCGUAGUAAGCUCUUGAAACUGGGAGACUUGAGUGCAGGAGAGGAGAGUGGAAUUCCUAGUGUAGCGGUGAAAUGCGUAGAUAUUAGGAGGAACACCAGUUGCGAAGGCGGCUCUCUGGACUGUAACUGACGCUGAGGCACGAAAGCGUGGGGAGCAAACAGGAUUAGAUACCCUGGUAGUCCACGCUGUAAACGAUGAGUACUAGGUGUCGGGGGUUACCCCCUUCG